rnacentral:rRNA from 1 species
UACGUAGGGUCCAAGCGUUGUCCGGAUUUAUUGGGCGUAAAGAGCUCGUAGGCGGUUUCGUAAGUCGGGCGUGAAAUCUCUGGGCUUAACCCAGAGCGGCCGUUCGAUACUGCGAUGACUUGAGUUUGGUAGAGGAGUGUGGAAUUCCUGGUGUAGCGGUGAAAUGCGCAGAUAUCAGGAGGAACACCAAUGGCGAAGGCAGCACUCUGGGCCAUAACUGACGCUGAGGAGCGAAAGCGUGGGUAGCGAACAGG